GGUAAUUCCUCCACGUGUAGGAAACUAUCACUUAGAGAAAAUUUCUCUCUUUGUCAGGUGUUGUAAACACGUAUUUUGGGUUUCUUCUACAGACUUGAUAAAAUGUCUUUCUUCUCAUCAUGGAUCAAAGUUAUUUUUAUCAUGGUCUUGGCAUUUCCUCUUUAUUCUGAAACUUCUUUAAAACCUCCUCCAAGAGAACAGCCAGACUGUGAAGCAUUUAAGGAUCGAUUACAUGUAUGCACCAACAAAAUGGACCCAGUCUGUGCAUCCAAUGGUCGUACUUACCACAAUGGAUGCAUUUUC